UAUCUGCGUUUGAACUGACACAAAGUCUUUGUAUUUGCACAAAUGGGGGGAGCUAGUAUCUGAAGCCACACAGAGUGUUCUAUUUAAUAUUUUAUUGCUGACAAUGGAAAACAACGGCAUGAGGAUGGCGGAGAGAAUGAACAGUAGACUCGAUUGUGAAUUUAAUGGAAUCACCUUGGGUUGCACAACAGCUAAGUGAAGUGGAAAAACCAAUGAAGACAAGGGCGGAGAGAUGUGCUGCAGAAAGAAGAAAGAAGGCGACUAACAACAUAUUGUUUUAACCAUGUUUGGAAAUGUACAGGUUUAAUGUAUAAGUAACAAAGAAAGGCAGUAAAACAAUGUUUAUUUUGUACAUCAAAGAGGGGUCAUGGCUGGGCCAACCAAAGAAAUUCAAAAAGAAAUAAUUUUGGCAUCCACAACUCAAGCAUUACACUUGGUUUCUCUGUCCCAUUGUUCUUCUGUAUCUAUCUGUUUCUGUCUCCCACCAAAAUGUUCAGACAGCCAAGGUUGACAAGGUAGAAAAUGUGCUUCUGCUGUCAAAAACAGUCUGAAGUAAGCAAAGUUGGCUUCUUUUUUAUCACCAGAAAAGUGCAGCGCACACUGUUCUGUUCUCCCUCUAUGAGGCAACAAUCUCCUAAAGACACAUUUGAACUUGAAAGCUCUCAGAUAAAUACGCAAAGUCAUGGAUUUUCUACAUCAUUUUGAUAGGCAAACCUGUAGCCUUUCUAGACAAUGGAUUGGAUGUCAAUGUGUCAAAGGGAGCUUGUGCUGUACAGGAGUUGAGGCCUAGACACAUCCGUCAUUAGCCAGCAGUGGUUUUCCGCCUUAAAGGGGAACAAUAACACAUUUAGAGUUUGCUGUACUACAUGCAUUUUAAGUAGUACUACUACGAGUAAGGACGGUGACAUAUCACAAGGUGUUGCUGUGCCACACUCUCAGUAAGUGAGAUAGGUGCACACAUUGACAGAGUCCAACACCAAGUCAAGUCUGUUUAAGCUACAAAGAUCCAUUUUCAAUAUUGACUUACCCUUUAAUUGAAAAUUGCCUUCACCGCAAAUCUUUGUCACAUGACAACAAGUAGUCUCAUCACAGUGAUAUCUUGGUCAGACUGCUGCAGUGGGAAAUGGAUGCAUUAAAUAAGAGCUCAAUGGACAUUUAGAGAUGCACCAAUAAUAUAAUAAUAUAUUAUAUAUAAUAAUAGCAUCAUUAUAUUAUUAUGCAAUAAUAUAAUAAUGAUAAUAAUGUUCAGAUUCAGAAAGGAAUGAACACCCAAAUAAACAUCAUAUUUACGGCAACAAAAUGUGUGUACGGGUGUUAUCUUGGAGGGCAAUGAGAACAUUCCCAAACAAAAUGGCGCAGUGUACUUUCCAUACACUUUUCCAUAACAAUUCCUUUGUUUGGGUUGAGUUCCAAUCACCUCUUUACUGCAUGUAUAUGUCGAAAGGUCCCAAUAAUUUGUAUUGUCAAGAUAUCAGCAGGUUUCUACUGUACUCAUCACAGCAUGCCUGUAGGUUGCACUAUUUGGGCAAUUCUUUAAAAUGAGUUUUAUAGAUAGAGAGAAGGAAAGACAUCGGGAUGGGGGGAUGAAACGUGGGGGAAAAAAGUGAGGAAGACCCAGAUGUGACCAGGGAAUAAUGACUGUAAUGGCAGAUGAGAGGUAUAGAAUGCAUGAGAGACAGAAAAAGACAGAAUGUGUAAGAUGGCAAUGAACAAUAAUUUGCUAUAGAGAGAGACUGUACAUUGGUCUUCUGGACGGAACAGUGAGAGAACCUUCAUUUGUUUUCAGGAGUGAACAAAGUUUUAGGAAAGAGAGAGACCCUUCACUGGUGUUCAGGACUGAACAGUGAUUGAGCAGCGAGAGAGACAGAGAAGCUUCUCUCCUUUAACCUCCAUGUCAGCUGUGUGUUUCCUCCAUCAUACUGUGCUCUUGGCCGAAAGAAGAAGUAGCCGGUUGUCAAGGAGACCCACCAACUUUAAGGAGGACAAGAGCUCUCACGAAUUAACCCAUUUAUUCCUCACUGUGACGACCAGUGAUACUGGUGGCGUGUAUCUUAGGUCCAAGCUGUUAUAUCUCAAUGAAUUCUGAAUAUGUGCUAGUGCUCGCAAACCAUAUCAAUGAUGUACAGUUUGACUCUCACAACCUUCCUUGCUCACAAUAAUGCCAACUGUCCUGGCAGUAUGUUUCCCCCACCCUUAGUGACAAUGAAACCACAGAGACCAUCCUUCUCCCCCCAUUGGCUGGGAAGCACCAUGGUGAUGCCCUCUGAUUGGGUAUGCCCAGCACACACUCUCAGCCAAUCAGGCUCACUGUAUCCAUGAGACUGAAGCAUGUAGGUCUAUUUAAAUCUAGCAAGAGAGACACAAAUUUGCUCAGAUGUACGUUUUUAUUUUGAAAAAAAGGAAAAAGGAAGAAAAAUGCAGGGAGAAAAGGUUUUGCAAGUGGAUGAAUGUUGGAAACCGAGACAAACCUGACCACUGCAUAGUCGACCCAUCUUCAGGGUUUAUCUGACCCAGGGCAAAGCGUGAGUGGAAUGAAUGAAACCAGUGUACCAAUGCAUGCUGUACUCUUCUGUCCCAACACCCUGUGUUUGUUUAUAAAUAUUGAUAGAUCUCCAUCCCUCACUUGCUUCCCCCUAAAUGAAGCUGUGGCAGUGAGUAAAGACCAAACAGUGAAAUCGGAUGGACAGGAUGAACUAAUGCCGGGAGUCUCUUUUCUCCUGUACAACAGUGUCGGGCGGUGGGGGUUGGGGGCACUGGGUAUUGGUUGUUCAUGCCACAGGAGUGUGGUAUGAAAAAUACGUAUCGCAGAAGAGCAGGAUUCAGAAGGAAAGACCCGGAUGGAAAACCAAUGUAAGUCCACGGCCAUUUUGUGUUUGCAUUUUUAUUUUAACAACGUCAUAUUUUCGACGGUCCACAAAAUGGUGGAAAAAUGUUCAGCCACCAGGUUGGCGUAACGGUUGUUCAAGAUUUCUUAUCACUGAAAUUAAUCCAACAAUAUCCCUUAAUGGUGACCAACAUAUACUGACUUUUGGAAGUAUUGUUUAUCAUUAUAUCAUUAUAUUUUCUACAUUUC
ensembl:lncRNA